GACGAACGCUGGCGGCGCGCUUAACACAUGCAAGUCGAACGGAAAGGCCUGCUUUCCCUUGUGGAUUGCGGGUACUCGAGUGGCGAACGGGUGAGUAACACGUGAGUGAUCUGCCCCCAACUUGGGUAUAAGCCUGGGAAACUGGGUCUAAUUCCCGAUAGGACUGCAGGGUGGUGCCUGUGGUUGAAAACGAUUUUCUAGUGGUUGGGGAUGAGCUCGCGGCCUAUCAGCUUGUUGGUGGGGUAAUGGCCUACCAAGGCGGCGACGGGUAGCCGGCCUGAGAGGGUGGACGGCCACAUUGGGACUGAGAUACGGCCCAGACUCCUACGGGAGGCAGCAGUGGGGAAUAUUGCACAAUGGGCGGAAGCCUGAUGCAGCGACGCCGCGUGGGGGAUGACGGCCUUCGGGUUGUAAACUCCUUUCGACCGCGAGGAAGCCACCUGGUUGGAAGGGUGGUGACGGUAGUGGUAGAAGAAGCACCGGCUAACUACGUG
rnacentral:rRNA from 1 species